GAGAAAACUGAAAGCCAACACAAAGAAAUCAGAAAAUCAAUUCAGGAUAUGAAUGAGAAAUUUACCCUGGAGAGAGAAACCUGAAAAAAAAAUUCUGGAGAUAAAAAAAAAUUCAUUGAAAGAAUCACAUAAAAAAUCGAAAACUUCAAUAACACACUAGACCAAGUAUGGUAGAAGAGAGACUCACAGAACUUAAAGGUAGAAGAGUAUCAUGGCCAAGAUCACUGUGUUGGUGACGAAUUCAUCCUCAAGGGAGUGCCAGACACCCAGGAGCAGCAAGGCCUCUAGGCUGUGCUGUUCUACUCAUCUCUCUGACAGCUCUGGCUGCACCUUCUCCUUGUUCUUGCCGCCUUGGACCAGCACCUGCAAAGUGCCAGCUUCUCCACUGUUCCGAGGAUACAAUCAAUGGAAGGCAGGUCAAAAGCCUUCUCAACAAGCAUUACUUGUCUUGUGGUGGUGAUUCUCCCUCAAUACAGGGUCCACUACCUACCAAAAGCCAGCGUCAGAGUGCCCUUCUGUGUGGGACUUGCUGGUGUUGUGUUCUGUACCAUGAUGCCACCAACCCUGACUUCUAUCAUCUACAGUCUGAAGAACAAGGACAUGAAAUCAACAUUCUGGAAAAUGCUUAGAAAUACUGUCUUUCAUAAGCAACAAAAACAAACACAAAUAUUUCACUCAGUUCACACAAACAACAGGUUAAUUCAGUUAAUGGUAACUGACUUCCUGCUGUUUAGAUAAGGUAAUAAUUUAUACUCUUAUACACACAUAGAAUUCACACUUUUUCUAUAUUUCUUUAAUCAAAAUAAAAAGAUAUGAAAAAUAGGAUUUCCCCAAAGGAAGAGAUUUUAGGUAGCAGAAAGUAUAAUUGGGAACAUGUGACUUUCCUCUUAUUUGUGUAUAGUCUUUAUUUAUAGGAAUAGAUUCACUGUAUAGAUAUAUUUGUACACUUUCAUCUUUGACUCAGCAUUAUUCAUUUGGAAUCUCCCCACUUUAUUCCUUUGUCAUGCACGUUAGAAUGUUUUAGGUUGUUCUUCAUUUUAAAAUUAAAAAUGAUUAUAAUGAAUAUUCUUCUAAUCAUCUCCUAUCACAAGGAAAUAAAGCUGGUUAAUAAUAUGUACCAUUUUAAUUUCAUAAGGUGAUCAAAUUGGUAUUCACAGUUGAUGUACUCACUGUGUUUAUUCCUGAGAAUAUUGGA